GACGAACGCUGGCGGCGUGCUUGACACAUGCAAGUCGAACGGAAAGGCCUGCUUUCCCUUGUGGAUUGCGGGUACUCGAGUGGCGAACGGGUGAGUAACACGUGAGUGAUCUGCCCCCAACUUGGGUAUAAGCCUGGGAAACUGGGUCUAAUUCCCGAUAGGACUGCAGGGUGGUGCCUGUGGUGGAAAACGAUUUUCUAGUGGUUGGGGAUGAGCUCGCGGCCUAUCAGCUUGUUGGUGGGGUAAUGGCCUACCAAGGCGGCGACGGGUAGCCGGCCUGAGAGGGGGGACGGCAAAAUUGGGGCUGGGAAACGGCCCAGACCCCUAGGGGGGGCAGCGGGGGGGAAAAUGGCAAAAUGGGGGGAAGCCGGAUGCAGCGACGCCGCGUGGGGGAGGACGGCCUUGGGGUUGGAAACCCCUUUGGACCGGGGGGAAGCCCCCGGGUUGGAAGGGGGGUGACGGUAGUGGUAGAAGAAGCACCGGCUAACUACGU
rnacentral:rRNA from 1 species